rnacentral:rRNA from 1 species
AAACAUCGCCUCUUGAACAGAUAUAAGAGGUCCAGCCUGCCCGGUGAUACAAUUUAACGGCCGCGGUAUACUGACCGUGCGAAGGUAGCAUAAUCACUUGUUCUUUAAAUGAGGACUAGUAUGAACGGCACCACGAGGGCUUUACUGUCUCCUCCCUUCAAUCAGUGAAACUGACCCCCCUGUGAAGAGGCAGGGAUACUACUAUAAGACGAGAAGACCCCAUGGAGCUUUAAACCCAACAACAGCCCAAACACCACCACCCCUAAAAGUUUUAACGGUAUUGCUAGUUGGUUUUAGGUUGGGGUGACCGCGGAGUAUAAACUAUCCUCCACGACGAACGGGCCUACCCCCUUACCCAAGAGCUACACCUCUAAGGAUUAACACAUUAACGUAAAAUGAUCCAAAUAUUUGAUCAACGAACCAAGUUACCCUGGGGAUAACAGCGCAAUCCAUUUUUAGAGCCCCUAUCGACAAAUGGGUUUACGACCUCGAUGUUGGAUCAGGGUAUCCAGGAGGUGCAGCCGCUUCCAAUGGUUUGUUUGUUCAACA